GAUGAACGCUGGCGGCGUGCCUUAUACAUGCAAGUCGAGUGGGUUUAGACCCACGGCACACGGGUGAGUAACACGUAGGUCCUUUCCUUGUCACAGGAAUAACCCUCCGAAAGGAGGGCUAAUACCUGAUGUGAUCGCAAGAUUAACGGGUAUCCGCAAGGAGUACCGGACAAGAAGAGGCCUGCGGCCUAUCAGCUAGUUGGCGGGGUAAAUGCCCACCAAGGCGAGGACGGGUAGCUGGUCUUAUGAGGCUGAUCAGUCACAUGGGCACGGAGACACGGGCCCAACGCCUACGGGAGGCAGCAGUAGGGUAUUGUGCGAAAGGGGCGAAAGCCUGACGCAGCGACGGCGCGUGCGGGAUGAAGGCCUUCGGGUCGUAAACCGCUUUUAUAAGGGACGAACUUUGACGGUACCUGAUGAAUAAGAGGUGGCUAACUCUGUG
rnacentral:rRNA from 1 species